CACAGCGACCCCCUUUUCCUACAAUUUCUCACCCCCAAGACAACGCCAACUCGCGGGGUUUUGACUGACACCGCAAACAAGCGGGGACUGAAGAGAAGAACCCACCCAGACACGCGUCCAAAACAUUCACACGUUCGGGGACGUCAUCGAGGAAGGGGGGGGAGGGCGGAAGAAAUACAUACUGAAGAGGCUAAAGCAGCAACCUGUCCUCCUCCAAAAGUUCACACGACCACCCUCCCCCAGAGACCCCUCGCCCAUCAAACGCCCCUUACCAGCAAGAACGGGAGACCCUGGAUGGAGGAAGAGGGCGAAGGGGGUCGUCGUGGCAGCGUCAGGGCCGCCUCAGAGCCCGGCGAGGGUCUGGAGCUUCUCCUCCUCCUUCACCACUCCUCGCAAGUAGCGGCAGCAGCCAUCUUGCCUUCUCCGCCCCUCGCUCCGUUCUCGGCGCGGUCACGUGGGCGCGGCUGGCCUCCUCCUUCUCCUUCUCGGGCUGAGGCGGGCGAGCCUGAGAGCGGCGAGAUUGAACGCAGGAGGCGCGCUCUGCUCGGGGUUGAGCGCUGCUGGGCUGGGUCUGCUUGACUGGCUGGGUCUGGGUUGCCAAGCCCCCCCCCCACUGCAAAUCAAUACAAAUCAAUAUAAAUCUGAGUUUCUGUCGGCCCCCCCCCAACAAAAAUCCAGGCUACGCCCAUGUCAAGAGCUCCACAGAGUGGGGUGGGGGGGACCCGACCUCUCCGUUUACUGUGCAACAAAGACCCCUGUGGCACCUCCCCAUAGCUGUCAACGUUUCCCUUUUUUAAAUGGAAAUUCCCUUAUUCCGAAUAGGAUUCCUCGCAAGAAAAGGGGAAAUUUGACAGCUAUGCACCUUCCUUCCUUAUUUUAUUUUAUCACGUUGAUAUUAUACACCUCUUGGUUGUGAAGAGGGAGCUAAAAAGGAAACAAAAUCUAUAGCACAUUAUAUAUAUAUAAUGUGCCAAGACUCUCAUCUCCAGAACCAAACGCCUGGCUGACAAAGACCACUUGACAACUGAGUUACAGAAUCUCUCAAAUGUGUUAAUCACCAAUGGAUACCAGCAAAACAGGGUUACGAAGCUAAUCCAAAAAGAAACACCCCCCAAAAACCAAG
rnacentral:lncRNA from 1 species